CAGGAUGCCUAGUUAAAUUUGAAUUUCAGAUGAACAAUGAAAUUUUUUUUUUUUUGGUAUAAGUAUAUCCCAUGCAAUAUUUGGAACAUACUUAUGCUAAAAGUAUUCCUUGUGUACCUGAAAUUCAAUUUUAACUGGGCAUUUC
rnacentral:miRNA from 1 species